CUUCCUCUUUGCAAACACUAUUUAACUGAGGAGUGGUCCUGGGCCCAGGCCAGCGUCCUGCAGAUAAUACUCGUGGUUUAUCUUGGUUUUGGUUUUUGGUAAAGGUUGGUUCGAAUAGGCACAUUUGCGAUUCUGUUCUUCUGAGGUUACGACUCUGUUUUACAUAGUAGUGCUGCUGUGAUGCUCCGUGUUUGGUUUGAACUGUAUCUGUAAACAAUUAAAAGCCUCCUCUGAUGGUCUCAGUAGAAGCAGGAUGGAGCCUAAUUGAGUGCUGGACCAAGCAGAGCUGGGCUCAUUUGUCCCUCGUGUGCCCUACUUCCUCAAUUCUAGCUUGCAAAGGGUAGCACAUGCCAAUACCGCACCACCCAGCUCUUUAACCUUAUGUUGUCCCUGGAAUACUCUUUACAGAAAAGAAAGUUGUGAUGAUUAAAUAGUCUGGGUUAUUUGCCCACAUGGUGUUCUUUUCCACCCUGAUUUUCACCCUUUCUUUCUUGUGCAGCUUGGCUCUCAUAGAGACCAAAGGAUCCCUACUUUUUAUAAGGCCAUGACCUGACAGGCAUCAUCUAGCAAAACUUUCUGUCCCACAGUGCAUCACAAUAGCCUUUUGAGUGAUGUAGAAGGAUCAAGCCCUAUAUCUCUGCAGUGUGUUUUUGCAGUAUAUCCAGCACCCGGAGGUGGCUGAAAUAACCACUGUCCUCAGAAGACUGAUUUUUAAGAACAAAGAGGACUCUACCCACUGGAGCCCAAGCAGUAUGCAUAGAGCACUUCCUUGGAUGGGGAGUACUUUGCCAGUCAAUGAGGCAGGAGAAGGACAAGGACAGUGGAGACAGUGGCUGCCAAAACAAUACGGUCCCAACAUCUAGGAACUUGCAUUUCAGGUAGACAGGCCAGACCUUGUAUGAAACUCAUGUCUUGUGCUUUGCAGAAUCUCUAGAGCCUUAUCCAAGGCCUGGCACAAACUUUUUACUCAUUCAAUGUUCUCUUAAACGAUAGAAUGAAUAGAUGAAUUCAGAAACCAAUAAGCCAAUGAAGACAGGCCUUAAAACC
rnacentral:lncRNA from 1 species